AUUGAACGCUGGCGGCAUGCUUUACACAUGCAAGUCGAACGGCAGCGCGGGCUUCGGCCUGGCGGCGAGUGGCGAACGGGUGAGUAAUACAUCGGAACGUGCCCAGUAGUGGGGGAUAGCUCGGCGAAAGCCGGAUUAAUACCUCAUACGACCUGAGGGUGAAAGCGGGGGAUCUUCGGACCUCGCGCUAUUGGAGCGGCCGAUGGCAGAUUAGCUAGUUGGUGGGGUAAAGGCCUACCAAGGCGACGAUCUGUAGCUGGUCUGAGAGGACGACCAGCCACACUGGGACUGAGACACGGCCCAGACUCCUACGGGAGGCAGCAGUGGGGAAUUUUGGACAAUGGGCGAAAGCCUGAUCCAGCAAUGCCGCGUGUGUGAUGAAGGCCUUCGGGUUGUAAAGCACUUUUGGCGGGAACGAAAAGGACUGUGCAAAUACCACGGUUCGAUGACGGUACCCGCAGAAUAAGCACCGGCUAACUACGUG
rnacentral:rRNA from 1 species